AGGUUUUCCCCUUCCCUUCCAAAGUGUAAGCCCCUGGGGUCCCCGGCGGGGAUUUGGCAGCCACAGGAAUGCGUGGGAAUACAGGAGACUUCAGGACAGGGCUUAGGGGUGUGUGUUGUUAAGAGAAAUAUCUCAUCGAGGACUUCUCUGUGUCACACUCACCCCCAAGUCUCAGGGCAAAACUGCCCAUGCCAACCCCCCGUAUCCUGGUUUCUCCCAGGUGUGUGUCCUUGUUCUGAGCAGCCUGGGACAAGGGUGUGCUCAGCAUCCCUGGCAAGGGAUGAGCGCAGCGCCGCAGUAUUUGCAGAUAUUUUGCCUUUCAGGGCGUGAAGGAGUUAAACUUUUCAGAUGGAAAGCGAACUGAAGAUCAGACCAGCAGCCUGGUGACCUCCCGCUGCUGGGACAGCAGCAGCUCCCAGCCAAGCCCGGCAGUUCCAUCCAUCCAUCGGCGUGGUGGGGCCGCGGGGAGCGGUGCACGGUGCUGCAGCUCGUGACCGUGUCUGGCUUUGACCUUCUCGGCAGCAGAUCAGGGUCCUGAAGCCCUUCAGUACAAGAGUUCUGCACCUUUCAGCGUGGCAGCCUUGAUGUAAAUAAGUAGACAUACACACACUUCGCUUGAAUCGGUGGAGCAGCUCCUGGUAGCAAAGCCAAGACCGUAAGUGCGUGCAGG